CCCGAGAUUUACAAAGCGUCGAUUUGUAUCGGAAUGGAUCGAUGAAACGCAAGGAAAGGGCUGCGAGUGAGCUGCCUGGGGAGACACCUUGAAGAGGAUGAGAGACCCUACACCGCGAUUAUGAAGCUCCCCUUGACAGAAACAGGCAGUUUGAUCCUCUGAAGAUCGACGCCAGCUGCGAUGACAUCACGAGGCUUCUAUCACAGGGGACACGGCGUCAGAUCUCGUCCUCCAGUCACCGUUGAAGUUGAGAUGAGGAGACAGGCACCGCAUGGAGUACCUGCCGAUCCUCACAGAACAGCCGGGUCGAGGCCUGGUUAGGGAAGAAAAAAGGGAGACAUUUCUCAUGCUUUGUUUUUUUAAAUUCAGUAAGAGAAGCUUUCUUCCUACAUGUCUGUUUAAUUUUAGUACACGUACUUACUCCUGGUCUUUAAAACGUACUAACCCCCCCCCAGUUAAAACCCCCGUUGCCAAGCUUUAUUUAUGAAUCUUUUUUAUCUCUCCCUGCUAUCGGUCCAAUUUUUGGGUGAUGACUAAAUACCUUGAGAACUCACCUGAGCUGCACUAUUUAGCAUCCCAGCACACUGGUAGCCAUUCCAAAUCCAAUAAUCCUAUUUUGCAGCUCCCUUGCAAUGUAUUUCUUGAGAAAACCUCACACAUUAUCUUCAAAGACGUGUUUGGUUUACACGUGGCCAACUCAUUUUCAGACACAGCCCGACUCAGUAGGGAAGCUGCUGAGCGGACUGGUCCUAUCUGCAAGGCCAGAGGCAGAAGAAGCAAGCUGCAGAACUGUAAGGAGAUAAGAGAGGACGCAGGGUGUCCACGCGAUGGCAUUUGGCUGAACUUUGCAUUUCAUUCAACCCCAACUUCAUGAGCUCUGGCAGGAAGAGUAACCCGAUAAGUGUGAAUGUGUCAAUGGGAUUUCCUCCCACUUUGUUGGUGCAUUUAUCCUUUGGUUAUCUCCUUCUCUCGCUUCUCCUAUCAUCUCCUCCAUUACGUAGGCAGAGAAGAGUCCCUCACAAGUGUGAAGGAGUCCACCGUGGCAACAUGACAGGGAAGGGACUGGGCCCCCCGUAGGCCUUACACAUCCUGCUACUGUAUUAAACAUACCAGCACUCAGCAUCAGCUGCAUAUGAACAACAAUGGGUGUCAGCAUAGCGUGACUGUGGCGUCAUGUUGAAGCAACAGUUUGACCACUUGUGGACCACACUUUGCAUGCCGAGGACUCGUUGGGAAGAUGCUGUAGUGGCUGCUCACGUUAGCAUUGCUUCCGGAACUGUGCGCGCGGGUUCAUCUGUGAAUAUGAAAUACUGAGAAUUGAUCUUGACGGAAAAUCGUUAUUGCACAAAAAAACCUAAUUAAUUAGCAUUUUUUGAGUCAUGGAACAAAGUUGGUUCGAUAGAUGUCAAACCACCUAUAAAGAAGUGCAACGUGUGUUUGACAUGUUUGACCCUGGGAAGUCACAGAGCUUUGAUGACCACAGAGGACGGGUCCUACUAAGCCCUUCUGCAUUGUUGGGCCCACACGAAGCCCAAAAAAAGCAAUCCACUAAGUGAUGUUGUUGUAGACGUAUGUGAUUAUUGGAAUAAUUAAAAAAAUGCUGACAGGGCAGUUGUUUUAAUGCUUUCUCCAGUGAUUCAUGUUGUCUUCCAUCUGCCUUCGCCUUGUUUGUAUCUACCUCCAUGCUAUUCCAAUACUACUCCACUUCCCUUUUCUCCCCUCAGUCAACACAAUGCAUCUCCCCAUUUCUCCCACAUCACCUCGCUCUCUCCCCCUCUAUUCUCCUUUUCUAUUUGUUCGUCUGUGCCUUCGAUUCCCAAACACAUCGACCUGUUUCAGAAAACGAGAAAUGGAGCACUUCAAAAGGAGCACAAAGGCAGAGCUGAGCUAAACGUCCCUCGCCACCACAAACCGGUGCCCAAGCAACAAGAAAAGAAGGCAAGUGUGUGUUUUGUGCUGGUCGUCUGUGUCCUUGCGGUGAUCCACGCGCUAAGCUUACAUGAAUGAGAAAUGACACAAGCUUCAGGGGACUGAGAUCAAUAUCGAGCUUCAUGCCGCCGUGGGGACGCGGUGCCUUUUAAAGGGAGCCUACAUGGAACCGGCUGAUCUGUGGCAACUAGGACAACAAGUGGCAAUUAAAGCUACCUUAUUGGAUUUUUGGAAAAACUUUGGGGCAGUGCAGCAGAAAUGUAGGCCCAGUGUUGACAUAUUAUCCCCUUUUUGAAGUCAAUACGGUGCAAAGAAAGCCAAUUAUCCUCCACUUUGUGAGAAUGUGGUACCGUGGCCAUUCAUUUGUAAACUGGAAUAACAACAAAUUGUCCCUUAUGAAAGAA